rnacentral:rRNA from 1 species
CUUUUAGAGAUGAGUGGCGAACGGGUGAGUAAUACAUAGGUAACCUGCCCCUGUGCGGGGGAUAACAGGAGGAAACUCCUGCUAAUACCGCAUAGCCAUGAGCACCGCAUGGAGCUCAUGCCAAAUAUCCUUUCGGGGAUAGCGCAGGGAUGGACCUAUGGCGCAUUAGCUGGUUGGCGGGGCAACGGCCCACCAAGGCAACGAUGCGUAGCCGGCCUGAGAGGGCGGACGGCCACAUUGGGACUGAGACACGGCCCAGACUCCUACGGGAGGCAGCAGUAGGGAAUUUUCGGCAAUGGGGGAAACCCUGACCGAGCAACGCCGCGUGAGCGAAGAAGGCCUUCGGGUCGUAAAGCUCUGUUGUAAAGGAAGAACGGCGCAUACAGGAAAUGGUAUGCGAGUGACGGUACUUUACCAGAAAGCCACGGCUAACUACGUGCCAGCAGCCGCGGUAAUACGUAGGUGGCGAGCGUUAUCCGGAAUCAUUGGGCGUAAAGAGGGAGCAGGCGGCCGCAAGGGUCUGUGGUGAAAGACCGAAGCUAAACUUCGGUAAGCCAUGGAAACCGGGCGGCUAGAGUGCGGAAGAGGAUCGUGGAAUUCCAUGUGUAGCGGUGAAAUGCGUAGAUAUAUGGAGGAACACCA